CAGCUCUUCGACUCCUUCUGCGUUCUCCGCUCAUCUUCUAACUACUCCGUUUUCCCCCAACCCCCCUGAACACUAUCCAAACAUGGCCAAGGGUAAGCGCUCCGCUGAUGCCAAGAGCAGUCAGAAGCGCCAGAAGAAGGUGCUGCGCGACAACAUCCGCGGCAUCACUCGCGGCUGCGUCCGCCGCAUGGCGCGCCGCGGUGGCGUGAAGCGCAUCUCGAGCGAUGUAUACGAAGAGGUGCGCCGCGUGCUGAAGGCCUACUUGGAAGACAUUGUGCGCUGCAGCACGGCCUACACCGAGUACGCGCGCAAGAAGACCGUGACGGCGUGCGAUGUUGUGAACGCGCUGCGCAAGAAAGGCCACAUCCUGUACGGCUAUGCGUAAGGCAAUCGCCACACCAUAGCAUUUACUGGGCAUGCCGGCAGCACACCAACACUCCCCGCAGCCCACACCCACCGAUAGACUUCUUUUUUGCUUCCGUAUUUUUCUCCCCUAUUCCCCCUCCCCUUCCGGCCUACCCUGCCCUACCCCUUCUUUCCCCCUCUCCGCCACUCCGCCACCCCGUUUCACCACAACAAAACACGUGAUUGCCGAUGGACGUGCGUGUCUCCGUGUGCGUUUGGGUGUGAAGCUGUUGGAGGAGGAGACUAACGUCAAAAAAAACGAGAACAAAAAAAAACAUCUGAAACAGUGACC
rnacentral:misc_RNA from 1 species